CUGACAGGAUGAGAGAAUUUGGUGCAGUGAGAGAUUCACCAGCACUGGGAAAUCCAGGAUUGCAUUGAGUUUAUCACCAGCAGCAACAAGAAAAUUGUAAACUUUCUCAACUUGUUUCAUAUGUCAUGUCCUUUAAGACUCCUAAUUCUAUAUGAGAAGCUGACAGCCCUUGAAUGGAGAAUAAAAUACACUGAAGCACAGUGACGAAAGGUCAUUUAGAACA
rnacentral:lncRNA from 1 species